GGAUUGCCCUAGUAACGGCGAGUGAAGCGGCAACAGCUCAAAUUUGAAAUCUGGCCCCCUCCGGGGUCCGAGUUGUAAUUUGCAGAAGAGUCUUCGGGUGUGGCCCCGGUCUAAGUCCCUUGGCACAGGACGUCAUAGAGGGUGAGAACCCCGUAUGUGACCGGGCGCCUACGCCCAUGUGAAGCUCUUUCAACGAGUCGAGUUGUUUGGGAAUGCAGCUCAAAAUGGGUGGUAUAUUCCAUCUAAAGCUAAAUAUUGGCCAGAGACCGAUAGCGCACAAGUAGAGUGAUCGAAAGAUGAAAAGCACUUUGAAAAGAGAGUCAAAUAGUACGUGAAAUUGUUAAAAGGGAAGCUCUUGCUACCAGACGCGGGCGCCGUUGAUCAUCCUAGGUUCUCCUGGGUGCACUCGGCGGUGCUCGGGUCAGCAUCGGUUUGGGUGGCGGGACAAAGGCCUUGGGAAUGUAGCUCCCCCCUCGGGGGGAGUGUUAUAGCCCUCGGUGUAAUGCCGCCUACCCGGACCGAGGACCGCGCUUCGGCGAGGAUGCUGGCAUAAUGGUCGUAAGCGGCCCGUCUUGAAACACGGACCAAGGAGUCUAACAUCUAUGCGAGUGUUUGGGUGGUAAACCCAUUCGCGGAAUGAAAGUGAACUUAGCUGAGAACCCCUCGGGGCGCACCAGCGACCGAUCCUGAUGUCUUCGGACGGAUUUGAGUAUGAGCAUAGCUGUUGGGACCCGAAAGAUGGUGAACUAUGCUUGCAUAGGGUGAAGCCAGAGGAAACUCUGGUGGAGGCUCGCAGCGGUUCUGACGUGCAAAUCGAUCGUCAAAUGUGGGCAUAG
rnacentral:rRNA from 1 species